UUUAUAAGAUUGGGAGGAAUGGUCUCGAGUGUACUGAAUUCACCUCAGUCAAACAUAGUUUGGCCACUAAACUCGGCAUGCCGAGUUCGUGGCUCGGUGUUCAUCGACCCCACGUCGGAUUUGCUGACCGAUGCCCACUCCCAAUCUGUAAUGCUUAAGGGCGUGUUCGGCAAAAUUAGUUGGUAGCUGGUGGCUUGUAGCGUUUUGUUAAACGUUACAUGAAGUAGCAUUUGGAUUCAGAACGUUUUGUUUAAAUUAAUCGCUAGAAGCUUGUAUGCAUGUGAUUUACAAGUGUUAUUUAUAGUCUUAGCUCCACUAUUACACCUGUACUUGUAUCACCUUCAUCGUCUUUGUAAUUUUAGUUUUAAAUCAAUAAAACACAUCAAGGCAGAUGAUCAUUAUCA